GUUCUUGUUUCAGCAGCACAUGUACUAAAAUUGUAAUGAUACAGAGAAGAUUAGCAUAGCCCCUGCACAAGAAUGACAUGCAAGUUUUCUCCAAACAAACAAAAAAAUA
rnacentral:snRNA from 1 species